AUUGAACGCUGGCGGCAGGCCUAACACAUGCAAGUCAAGCGGCAGCGGGAAAGUAGCUUGCUACUUUUGCCGGCGAGCGGCGGACGGGUGAGUAAUGCCUGGGGAUCUGCCCAGUCGAGGGGGAUAACUACUGGAAACGGUAGCUAAUACCGCAUACGCCCUACGGGGGAAAGCAGGGGACCUUGGGGCCUUGCCCGAUUGGAUGGACCCAGGUGGGAUUAGCUAGUUGGUGAGGUAAUGGCUCACCAAGGCGACGGUCCCUAGCUGGUCUGAGAGGAUGAUCAGCCACACUGGAACUGAGACACGGUCCAGACUCCUACGGGAGGCAGCAGUGGGGAAUAUUGCACAAUGGGGGAAACCCUGAUGCAGCCAUGCCGCGUGUGUGAAGAAGGCCUUCGGGUUGUAAAGCACUUUCAGCGAGGAGGAAAGGUUGGUAGCUAAUAACUGCCAGCUGUGACGUUACUCGCAGUAGGAGCACCGGCUAACUCCGUGCCAGCCGCCGCAGUAAAAC
rnacentral:rRNA from 1 species